GACGGAAGGUGCAAGCGUUGCUCGGAAUCACUGGGCGUAAAGGGUGCGUAGGCGGCCGUGCAAGUCUGGCGUGAAAGCCCCGGGCUCAGCCCGGGAAGUGCGCUCGAAACUGCGCGGCUCGAGUGCCGGAGGGGAGAGUGGAAUUCCUGGUGUAGCGGUGGAAUGCGUAGAGAUCCGGAAGAACACCGGUGGCGAAGGCGGCCUGCUGGGCAGUUGCUGACACUGAGGCGCGACAGCGUGGGGAGCAAACAGG
rnacentral:rRNA from 1 species